rnacentral:lncRNA from 1 species
GAACAUACAAGCAUAGGCAACAGGUCAACUGCUGAGAACAAUUUAGAAAAAAAAAUAACAUAAGAUGAAGGCAAAUUCUACUGCUCAGUUCGAUGCCGGAUGGUGCACAUGAAGUGUGACGUUAGCCGUGAAGGUAUCUCAGCGCUUUUUCAGAAAGCAUAGUACCUGAUCUUCUUUCACCUAUGGUAGCGUACAACGCCCAUUUCGUUUCGACUUUCGCCAUUGCUUUCAAGUACGCGUGAAGCUGGACUAAAGUCGCACUAUGCUCGAAAGUAGUGUGAGUGGUAGACACAUCGGCAUUAUAGAAUAUGAGCUCACAAGUCAAGCCACCCUGAUAAAUUACUGGUUAUUUCUUUGAUGAACAGCAUUACCAAAAGAAAGCAUGCAGCUGAAAGUGAUCCUGGUGGGCUUGGCAAUCUUUGGUCUUAUUGUGCCAGAGAGCAGUGCUAUGCCGGCAAGCAGCUCCAGUGAUGCCGAGGCCAGGGCUGAUCCCGGGAUUGCUGAGCGUGCCGAGCAGGGCAGCGCCGAGGAGGCACGCAUCAGCGAGGGAUGCUUGGCUUCCCUGUGCGGGUAAUAACCUGACGCAAGAGAGUGACACCUUCUAAAGGUCGCCUCCCGCAAAAAUAGCACAAAUAUUCCGAAAGUAGUAAAGGCACUGCCCAGCGCUCCACACCUUGCCCCAGUGCCGAAUAUUGGCGCUUGCGGAUGGCUGUUGCGCGUGCUCUUGCAUUGAAUAAAGUUCCGUUUAACAUGUAA